rnacentral:rRNA from 1 species
GGAUUAGAUACCCUGGUAGUCCACGCCGUAAACGAUGUGUGCUUGUCGUCAGGAAACAAAGUUUUUUGGUGACGGAGCUAACGCAUUAAGCACACCGCCUGGGAAGUACGGUCGCAAGAUUAAAACUCAAAGGAAUUGACGGGGACCCGCACAAGCGGUGGAGCAUGUGGUUUAAUUCGUCGCAACGCGAAGAACCUUACCAGGCCUUGACAUCCCGAUUUGGAGGAUCAGAGAUGAACCUCUUCAGUUCGGCUGGAUCGGUGACAGGUGCUGCAUGGCUGUCGUCAGCUCGUGCUG